GCGAGGGGCGAGCUGCGCCCGCCGCGCUCCCCGGACUCAACGAGCGCAGGGCGCCGGCUGGCUGCGCUCCCUCCGCCGCCGCCGCCUCCUCCUCCUCCCGAGUGGGCUCGGCCCGGCGGCCAGGGCGAUGUGAGCCGGGGCCCGCGGGCGCGGCCGGACCUCCGCGAUGUGGCUCAAGCCUGAGGAGGUGUUGCUGAAGAACGCCUUGAAGCUCUGGGUGACUCAGAAGAGCAGCUGCUACUUCAUCCUGCAGCGGCGCCGCAGCCACGGCGAGGGGGGCGGCCGGCUCACGGGUCGCCUGGUGGGGGCCCUGGACGCGGUGCUGGAUUCCAACGCCCGGGUCGCUCCGUUUCGAAUUCUCCUCCAGGUCCCCGGCUCCCAGGUGUAUUCUCCCAUAGCAUGUGGUGAGUUACUGAGUGGAUCGGACGUUUACUGGGCCGUGGCCACGGGUGCCACGUUAGAGGAAAUAAACCAGCACUGGGACUGGCUGGAGCAAAAUCUCCUCCACACCUUGUCCGUCUUUGAUAAUAAAGAUGACAUUGCCAGUUUUGUCAAAGGGAAGGUGAAGGCUCUGAUCGCCGAGGAGACAAGCAGCAGGCUGGCCGAACAGGAGGAGGAGCCUGAGAAGUUCCGAGAGGCCCUGGUGAAGUUCGAGGCCAGGUUCAACUUCCCGGAGGCCGAGAAGCUGGUCACCUAUUACUCGUGCUGCUGCUGGAAGGGCAGGGUGCCCCGUCAAGGCUGGCUCUAUCUCAGCAUCAACCACCUCUGCUUCUAUUCCUUCUUCCUGGGCAAGGAGCUUAAACUUGUAGUCCCUUGGGUUGACAUCCAGAAGUUGGAGAGGACAUCCAACGUCUUUCUGACGGAUACCAUCCGCAUCACCACACAGAAUAAGGAGCGGGACUUCUCCAUGUUUCUGAACCUAGAUGAGGUGUUCAAGAUCAUGGAGCAGCUGGCUGACGUGACACUCCGAAGGCUGCUGGAUAAUGAGGGCUUUGACCUGGACCCAGGUCUGCAGGAGCCCAGCCAGAUCACCAAGAGGGACCUGGAAGCCAGGGCACAGAACGAGUUCUUCCGGGCCUUCUUCAGGCUGCCGAGGCGGGAGAAGCUGCACGCCGUCCUGGACUGCUCCCUCUGGACCCCGUUCAGCCGCUGUCACACGGCCGGGCGGAUGUUCGCCUCCGACAGUUACAUCUGCUUUGCCAGCAAGGAAGCUGGCUGCUGCAAAGUUAUCCUCCCGUUCCGAGAGGUCGUGAGCAUUGAGAAAAUGGAGGACACGAGCCUGCUGCCGAACCCCAUCAUCGUCAGCGUCAGGAGCAAGAUGGCCUUCCAGUUCAUCGAGCUCACGGAUCGCGACAGCCUGGUGGAGAGCCUGCUGGCGAGGCUGAAGCAGGUGCACGCCGACCACCCCGUGCACUAUGACACGACGCGGGAUGAGGACCUGACUUCGUCUGUGUUUCAUUCAACAAGCAUGUGCGGUGACCACAGGUUUGGGCGUAUUGAGAUGGUGUCUUCUCAAAACAGCGAGGAAAGGGAGAAAGAGAUGAACCCGCAGCUGCACCCCGAGGCCCUGGUCGCCGGCUUCCGGCGGUCGGGCAGCCAGAGCCCCGACUCGAGACUGCCCAGAGAACAGAUCAAGAUGAGACUGUGGAACGACCACUUCGUAGAGUACGGCAGGACCGUGUGCAUGUUCCGUACGGAGAAGAUCCGGAAGCUGGUGGCCAUGGGGAUCCCCGAGUCGUUACGUGGCAAACUCUGGCUCCUUUUCUCUGAUGCCGUCACUGACCUCGCCUCGCAUCCCGGUUACUAUGGCAACCUGGUGGAGGAGUCCAUGGGAAAGUGUUGCCUGGUGACAGAGGAGAUAGAACGGGACCUGCAUCGCUCCUUACCGGAGCACCCCGCCUUCCAAAACGAAACGGGGAUCGCUGCUUUGAGGAGAGUCCUGACGGCUUAUGCCCACCGGAACCCCAGAAUCGGGUACUGCCAGUCCAUGAACAUCCUGACCUCCCUUCUGCUGCUAUACGCCGAGGAGGAGGAAGCCUUCUGGUUGCUGGUUGCUGUGUGUGAGCGGAUGCUGCCCGACUACUUCAACCAUCGAGUCAUUGGGGCCCAGGUGGACCAGUCGGUCUUCGAGGAGCUCAUCAAGGAGCAGCUCCCUGAGCUGGCGGAGCACAUGCACGACCUCUCGGCCCUGGCGUCCAUCUCCCUCUCCUGGUUCCUGACGCUGUUCCUCAGCAUCAUGCCCCUGGAGAGCGCAGUGAACGUGGUCGACUGCUUCUUCUACGAUGGCAUCAAGGCCAUCUUCCAGCUGGGGCUGGCCGUGCUGGAGGCCAACGCCGAGGACCUGUGCAGCAGCAAGGACGACAGCCAGGCCUUGAUGGUCCUCAGCAGGUUUCUGGAUCACAUCAAGAACGAGGAUAGCCCUGGACCCCCGCUAGGCAGCCACCAUGCCUUUUUCUCGGAUGACCAGGAGCCCUGUCCCAUGACCGACAUUGCCGACCUGAUCCGGGACUCCUACGAGAAAUUCGGAGACCAGUCUGUGGCUCAGAUCGAGCACAUGCGCUGCAAGCACAGGAUCCGGGUCCUGCAGGGCCACGAAGACACCACAAAGCAGAAUGUGCUGCGAGUCGUUAUCCCCGAAGUCUCAGUCCUUCCAGAAGACCUAGAGGAACUCUACGAUUUAUUCAAGGGGACCUGGGUUCGAUCCCUGGUCCGGGAAGAUCCCACAUGCUGCGGAGCAACUAAGCCUGUGAGCCACAACUACUGAGCCCACGUGCCACAACUACUGAAGCCCGUGCGCCUAGAGCCCGUGCUCCGCAACAAGAGAAGCCUGCGCACCACAAUGAAGAGUAGCCCCCGCUCACCGCGACUAGAGAAAGCCCUCGCACAGCAACAAAGACCCAACGCAGCCAAAAAUAAAUAAAUUUAUUUAAAAAAAUACAAAAAAAAAUAGUGGAUGCAACAGUGACCCUUAUUGAAAUGAUCACCUCGUAUACUUUUUUCUAUUAUUAUUUUUUAAAAUUGAAGUAUAGUUGAUUCACAAUGUUGUGUUAGCUUCUGGUAUACAGCACAGUGAUUCAGUUAUACGUAUAUAUAUUCUUUUUUUAAAAAAUAUUUGUUUGGCUGUGGCUGGUCUUAGUUGUGGCACGCAGGAUCUUUGUUGUUGCCGUGUGCGGGGUCUUCGUUGCAGCAUGCGGGAUCUUUUUCAUGUUUUAGUUGCCGCAUGGGGGAUCUUUAGUUGCGGCAUGCACGUGGGAUCUAGUUCCCUGAGCAGGGAUCGAACCGGGCCCCCUGCAUGGGGAGCGUGGAGUCUUAGCCACUGGACCACCAGGGAAGUCCCAUACGUAUAUUCUUCUUCAUUAUAGGUUUUUACAAGAUAUUGAAUACAAUUCCCUGUAUCACCUCAAAUACUUUUUAAUCAUAGCCUCACCCACAUGACGUGUGUACAUAUUCUUGUGUUUGUGUGGCUGGUCUGCCUGCUACUUUAUGUUCUGUUUUCCCCUGAUGCUGUCAUUAACACUUUUUCACAUUGCCCUAUGGUCUUACUCAUUUUUAAAUCAUUUGAAACCUGUCAUGUUGGUAAUACUUACCAUGCUAAACUGUAUUUCGACUAUUUGGAUAUUUAGGUGGAAGACUUGCUGAAUUAAAUCACCCUGCAAAGACCAUUUUCAGGUGCCUUUUCUCUUGCUCGAAACAAGUCAGUAAAAAUGGGGAAGAGAGGCAGACAGUGGACCCACUCCCUACAGCCUGGCAGUGAAGCGGGGAGAAGACAGCCGCAGAAAGCAGGCCAGCCCGGAGGAGUCGGCCACCGGAGCUGUCCUGGCGGGGCCUCUGAGCCGCCAGCACUUCUGCACUCAAAGGGCCGCGUGCGCAAGAUAAUCCGAAGCAGCACUUAGGUCUCCUGAGCAGAGCCGCAGAUACUGUCUGACCCUUCCUGGGGCUGUCGUGUCACAUCUCCCUGUGGUCACUGACAUGGUGGCUGGCUUAGUAGGUUCCCGGCACUCCUCACGCCUGGUCAGCAGGAUGCGUGAUGAGUCCUCAGGCUACGUCUCCUGUAAACCUCACCGGGUUUCAAGUUUCAUAGUUUCCUCUGUUGCAUGUAGAGAAAAUACGAAGCCAGAGGUGACUUAGUGUCCCACACCGCCACCUCUCUUUGACUUUCAAGGAGGAAAAACAGGGAGUACUAGAAACACAAAAGCAGGUUAACAAACGUGUUGUUUAGCAUAAAACGUCUUUGACUUACUUAGGGCUAACCUCAAUUUGAGAGAAUAAGACGUCUCACAUUUGAAUUUAUAUGACUUAAGAGACUGCCUUAAAUUCAUCAUAAAAAUAAGUUUCAUUAAGUACUAACUGUAUCAUUAAUCUGUCAUACAAGGAGUAUUUAAAGAAGACAGACAGCUAUUUCCUGUGUCCUAUUUCUAUCUUUUCUGUGAACAAUGUGGGUGAAAUUUAUUUUCGUAUUUUUUUUUUUUUUUUAGCUCUGCAGGCCUUUCAUUUGUGUAGGACUAACUAUGAAUAUAAACUUCAACUGUAAAUACAAGACCAAUUUCAAAAUGCACUUCCAAAAGAAAUUCCAGGACAGUAGCGUCAUCAUCAUGGUGUCUAAUUCCGUCAUACAGCCUGAGUUUUAUUGAGGUAUAAUUGACCUACAGCACUAAGUUUAAGGUGUACAGCAUAAUGACUUACAUGUAUUGCGAAAUGAUGCGCAGUAAGUUAACAUCCAUCAUGUCAUAUGUUUAUAGAUACCAAAAAAAGAACAAAAAUGAUUUUUUUCUUGUGACGAGAACUUUUAGGAUCUACUCUCUUAGCAACUUUCAAAUAUACCGUACAGCAGUGAUAACUAUAGUUGUCGUGUUGUACAUACAUCCCAGGACUUAUUUAUCUUAUAACCGGAGAUUUGUACCUUUUGAGCCCCUUCACCCCGUUCUAUAACCCGCACCCACGGCCAGCCCCAGCCUCUGGUAACCACGAAUCUGAUCCUUUUCUAUGACUUUGGGUUUGUUUGUUUGUUUGAAUUUAUUUUAUUUUUGGCUGCGUUGGGUCUUUGUUGCUGCACGCGGGCUUUCUCUAGUUGCAGCGAAUGGGAGCUACUCUUGGUUGCGGUGUGCAGGCUUCUCAUUGCGGUGGCUUCUCUUGUUGUGGAGCAUGGGCUCUAGGCGUGUGGGCUUCAGUAGUUGUGGCACGCGGCUCAGUAGUUGUGGCUCGUGGGCUCUAGAGCACAGGCUCAGUAGUUGUGGUGCACAGGCUUAGUUGCUCUGCAGCAUGUGAGUUCUUCCCGGACCAGGGCUCGAACCCGUGUCCUCUGCAUUGGCAGGUGGAUUCUUAACCACUGUGCCACCAGGGAAGCCCAUGUUGCUAUUUUUUUUUUUUUUUUUUUAGAUUCCACAUAUGAGAUCAUAUAGUAUUUCUCUGACUUAUUUCACUUACCGUAAUGUCCUCGAGGUCCGUCUAGGUUAUAAAGCAAUGUUUUAAAUUACGUAAAUUUAGAUUUGCGAUGUCUGUCCCUUAUCCUCUGAAAUUGAAAACAGCUUCAUUAGUCUUCUCUCUUCAAGUAAGAUGGGAACAAUAUAAUACACACUUGAUGUCAUUGACUACUUUUGGAAAUACUCAGGACCUGAAACAGUGCCUGUGACAUUUUUGUAGAUUCAGUAUGUACAGAUCUUUUCUCGUUCUUUUUUAAUGGCUGCAGGAUUUGAUGGUAGGGCUUAACCAUACUUUAUUAACCAUUCACCUGCUGAGGGACAUUUAUCUCAUUUCCAGUUUUUUCUGCUUUAUAAACAGUGCUGUAUCAAGCAUGCUUGUGCCUUUCUUGGGACACCUGUGCUGCCGUUUCUGUAGGAUGGGUUCCUUAGGGAUGCACAAACCAAGUUUUAGUCACUAUUGCUAAAGCGUUUUAGAUUUUUCAAAUUUCAGUUCUACUGAUGAUGCCUAAGGGUGCUCAUUUCCUAUGUUCCCCACUCACCCAGCAUUUAACAUUAUGGAUCUUUUAAAAUUUUACUAGUUGUGUAGAAAAUUGCAUUUCAUUUUAACUUAACAUUUGUUUACUCGUUAGUGAGGUUGAGUGCCCUUUCAUAAGUUUAUUGGCUAAUCAUAUACUUUCUUGUAUCAUCUCUUCAUAUCCUUUGCCUGUUUUUAUAUUGACUUUUCUGUAGGAUUCUGUGUAAACUGGUUGUACUAGUCCUUGGCCUUUAUAACUGUUUUCUUCUGGGUAGGAUUCUGAGGGCCUCUAGCAUCACAGGGUGGCAGAUAUACACGCAAAUUCACAGUGUGUCUUGGGUUUGAGGAAUGGGAAUUUAUCAGACCUUUGUUUCACACUUGAACAUUCUUAUGAUACUUUUCCUGAUUCUGCAAAGGCUAUUUAAGGAACAUGGCUCCAGAGAAUAUGCAGUAAAAUUAUAGAUGGCAUUUUGGUUUCCAUCCAAGGAUAGGCACUUGGAUAUUAUAGCAUCUGUACUUGUUUCUGUGCCAUCCUUAUGGGCAGAGGGCAUUGAAAUCGUGAAGAACCCUGCAGUCAUUGGGAACUAUUUCAGGUGAGUUGAGAUGUCCCAAGAGGUGAUUUAGUACAGGUGUAAAAGAAACAUUCUAAAGAGGCUAACCUGGUCCUAGGCGACAGGGUCAGUUUUGAUUGCUUUAGUUUUCAGUUUAUUCCCAAGACUUCAAAUUGCCUUUGCUUUUUUUACUUUUACUUUUUUGAAUUGUUAAUAUAUUCAUGUGGUUGAAAAUUCAGAACAUAUAAAAAAGCUUGCUUCUCCAUCUGGGUCCCUGCCCCCGUUUUCCAUCCUCACAGGUUACCAGGGUAAAUAGUUUCUUCUGUAUCCUAUAGAUUUGUCUAGUACUUUCUGACUUUCAAAUAAUAUGAUUUAAGAAAAAAUACCAGAAUAAAAAUUGUAUGAUUUCAAUAAUUAAAACUAUGGCAGGGGAGUUCCCUGGCGGUCCAGUGGUUAGGACUCUGCGCUCUCACUGCUGUGGGUCCAGGUUCAAUUCCCUGGUCGGGGAACUAAGAUCCCAUAAGCUGUGCAGUGUGGCCAAAAUUAAACAAAACAAAACUAUGGCAGCUGAACUGUACAUUUAAAAAUUGUUAAAAUGGUAAAUUUUGUUAUGUAUAUUCUGCUACAAUGAAAAAAGAAACCUUAAUAAAAAGGAAGAAGUUUUUGCUUGUUACUACAGGGUUACCUGUAACUACAUUUCUGGUUGGAGUGGUGAGAUUGUGAGUUAAUUUUUUCAUUUGUUUGUUUUAUAAUGUUGCUUAUUCAAUACUGAAUUUUACGAGGCAAAGCAAGUCAGGAGAGAAGGCUGUGUUGGCUUUGGCCUUUACGUGUGCGGCCUCCCAUGGGGGCCGCCGCCCCUCACAGACCCCUCUCGCUCCCCUGUUAGAGAGAACACAUGA